rnacentral:rRNA from 1 species
UGGGGAAUAUUGGACAAUGGGCGGAAGCCUGAUCCAGCCAUGCCGCGUGUGUGAAGAAGGCCUUUUGGUUGUAAAGCACUUUAAGCGAGGAGGAGGCUACUUGGAUUAAUACUCUAGGAUAGUGGACGUUACUCGCAGAAUAAGCACCGGCUAACUCUGUGCCAGCAGCCGGGGUAAUACAGAGGGUGCGAGCGUUAAUCGGAUUUACUGGGCGUAAAGCGUGCGUAGGCGGCUUCUUAAGUCGGAUGUGAAAUCCCUGAGCUUAACUUAGGAAUUGCAUUAGAUACUGGGAAGCUAGAGUAUGGGAGAGGAUGGUAGAAUUCCAGGUGUAGCGGUGAAAUGCGUAGAGAUCUGGAGGAAUACCGAUGGCGAAGGCAGCCAUCUGGCCUAAUACUGACGCUGAGGUACGAAAGCAUGGGGAGCAAACAGG